rnacentral:rRNA from 1 species
AUUGAACGCUAGCGGGAUGCCUUACACAUGCAAGUCGAACGGAGUGGCGAACGGGUGAGUAAUGUAUCUGAACGUGCCCAGUAGCGGGGGAUAACUACGCGAAAGCGUAGCUAAUACCGCAUACUAUUGGAACGGGCGAUAUCGGAUUAGCUAGUUGGGGGGGGAACGGCUCACCCAGGCGACGGUCCCUAGCUGGGUUGAGGGGGUGACCAGCCCAACUGGGACUGGGACACGGCCCAGACUCCUACGGGGGGCAGCAGUGGGGAAUUUUGGAAAAUGGGGGAAACCCUGAACCAGCCAUCCCGCGUGUGCGAUGAAGGCCUUCGGGUUGUAAAGCACUUUUGGCAGGAAAGCGGUACCUGCAGAAUAAGCACCGGCUAACUACGUGCCAGCAGCCGCGGUAAUUC